rnacentral:rRNA from 1 species
GUUAUAUGGUCAAGCGAAUAAGCGCACACGGUGGAUGCCUUGGCGGUCAGAGGCGAUGAAGGACGUGGCAGCCUGCGAAAAGUGUCGGGGAGCUGGCAACAAGCUUUGAUCCGGCAAUGUCCGAAUGGGGAAACCCACUCCGCAAGGAGUAUUGCAUGGUGAAUACAUAGCCAUGCAAGGCGAACCCGGGGAACUGAAAUAUCUAAGUACCCGGAGGAAAAGAAAUCAACCGAGAUUCCCCCAGUAGCGACGAGCGAACGGGGAGCAGCCCAAAAGUUGUUCCGGUUCUAGCAAAACAGUCUGGAAAGACUGGCCAUAGAAGGUGACAGCCCUGUAUGCGAAAGGGCCGGAAUGAUGAAAAGUGAGUAGGGCGGGGCACGAGAAACCCUGUCUGAACAUGGGGGGACCAUCCUCCAAGGCUAAAUACUCCUGACCGACCGAUAGUGAACCAGUACCGUGAGGGAAAGGCGAAAAGAACCCCGGAGAGGGGAGUGAAAUAGACCCUGAAACCGUGUGCGUACAAGCAGUAGGAGCCCUUCGGGGUGACUGCGUACCUUUUGUAUAAUGGGUCAGCGACUUACUGUUCGUGGCGAGCUUAACCGUAUAGGGGAGGCGAAGGGAAACCGAGUCUGAUAAGGGCGCAUAGUCGCGGGCAGUAGACCCGAAACCGGGUGAUCUAGUCAUGCCCAGGGUGAAGGUACCGUAACAGGUACUGGAGGCCCGAACCCACUCCCGUUGCAAAGGUAGGGGAUGAGGUGUGAUUAGGAGUGAAAAGCUAAUCGAACCCGGAGAUAGCUGGUUCUCCUCGAAAGCUAUUUAGGUAGCGCCUCGCACGAAUCUUCCUGGGGGUAGAGCACUGUUAUGGCUAGGGGGUCAUUGCGACUUACCAAACCAUUGCAAACUCCGAAUACCAGGACAGAAUAUGCGGGAGACACACGGCGGGUGCUAACGUUCGUCGUGAAAAGGGAAACAACCCAGACCCACAGCUAAGGUCCCAAAUUCCAUGCUGAGUGGAAAACCAUGUGGAAAGGCACAGACAGCCAGGAGGUUGGCUUAGAAGCAGCCAUCCUUUAAAGAAAGCGUAAUAGCUCACUGGUCGAGUCGGUCUGCGGGGAAGAUUUAACGGGGCUAAGCAUGGAACCGAAGCUUGGGGUGCAUACUUUGUAUGCGCGGUAGAGGAGCGUUCCGUAAGCCGUUGAAGGUGGAUCGAGAGGUCUGCUGGAGGUAUCGGAAGUGCGAAUGCUGACAUGAGUAACGAUAAUGCGGGUGAAAAGCCCGCACGCCGAAAGCCCAAGGUUUCCUUGCGCAACGUUAAUCGACGCAGGGUGAGUCGGCCCCUAAGGCGAGGCAGAAAUGCGUAGUCGAUGGGAAGCUGGUUAAUAUUCCAGCACCUCGCACAAGUGCGAUGGAGGGACGGAGAAGGUUAGGUCUACCGGGCGUUGGUUGUCCCGGGGAAAGGCGGUAGGUUUGGGUCUUUGGCAAAUCCGGGACCCUUCAAGACCGAGCACCGAGACGAGCUCAUUAGAGCGAAGUGACUGAUACCACGCUUCCAGGAAAAGCUCCUAAGCUUCAGCUUGUGCAGACCGUACCGUAAACCGACACAGGUGGGUAGGAUGAGAAUUCUCAGGCGCUUGAGAGAACUCGGGUGAAGGAACUAGGCAAAAUGGUACCGUAACUUCGGGAGAAGGUACGCCCCCUUUGGUGGCCACAUGCGUGGCUGGGCUGAGGGGGGCCGCAGAUACCAGGCCGCUGCGACUGUUUAUCAAAAACACAGGACUCUGCAAACACGAAAGUGGACGUAUAGGGUCUGACGCCUGCCCGGUGCCGGAAGGUUAAUUGAUGGGGUCAGCCGCAAGGCGAAGCUCUUGAUCGAAGCCCCGGUAAACGGCGGCCGUAACUAUAACGGUCCUAAGGUAGCGAAAUUCCUUGUCGGGUAAGUUCCGACCUGCACGAAUGGCGUAACGAUGGCGGCACUGUCUCCACCCGAGACUCAGUGAAAUUGAAAUCGCUGUGAAGAUGCAGCGUUCCCGUGGCAAGACGGAAAGACCCCGUGAACCUUUACUAUAGCUUUACACUGAACGUUGAGUUCGUCUGUGUAGGAUAGGUGGGAGGCUGUGAAGUGCUGGCGCCAGCUGGCAUGGAGCCAUCCUUGAAAUACCACCCUGUCGUGCUUGACGUUCUAACCUAGGUCCGUGAUCCGGAUCGGGGACCGUGUAUGGUGGGUAGUUUGACUGGGGCGGUCUCCUCCCAAAGAGUAACGGAGGAGCUCGAAGGUACGCUCAGCGCGGUCGGACAUCGCGCACUGUGUGCAAAGGCAUAAGCGUGCUUGACUGCAAGAUCGACGGAUCAAGCAGGUACGAAAGUAGGACUUAGUGAUCCGGUGGUUCUGUAUGGAAGGGCCAUCGCUCAACGGAUAAAAGGUACUCCGGGGAUAACAGGCUGAUACCGCCCAAGAGUUCAUAUCGACGGCGGUGUUUGGCACCUCGAUGUCGGCUCAUCACAUCCUGGGGCUGUAGUCGGUCCCAAGGGUAUGGCUGUUCGCCAUUUAAAGUGGUACGCGAGCUGGGUUCAGAACGUCGUGAGACAGUUCGGUCCCUAUCUGCCAUGGGCGUUGGAGAUUUGAGAGGGGCUGCUCCUAGUACGAGAGGACCGGAGUGGACGAACCUCUGGUGUUCCGGUUGUCACGCCAGUGGCACUGCCGGGUAGCUACGUUCGGAAGCGAUAACCGCUGAAAGCAUCUAAGCGGGAAGCGCGCCUCAAGAUGAGAUCUCCCGGGGCACAAGCCCCCUGAAGGAACCAUCAAGACCAGGUGGUUGAUAGGCUGGGUGUGUAAGCGCUGCAAGGCGUUGAGCUAACCAGUACUAAUGAUCCGUGUGGCUUGACCAUAUAACCU